rnacentral:rRNA from 1 species
CUCGUAGGCGGUUCGUCGCGUCCGGUGUGAAAGUCCAUCGCUUAACGGUGGAUCUGCGCCGGGUACGGGCGGGCUGGAGUGCGGUAGGGGAGACUGGAAUUCCCGGUGUAACGGUGGAAUGUGUAGAUAUCGGGAAGAACACCAAUGGCAAAGGCAGGUCUCUGGGCCGUUAUUGACGCUGAGGAGCGAAAGCGUGGGGAGCGAACA